GCCUCUGUAGCUCAAUGGACAGAGCAACUGUCUUCUGAACAGUAGGUUGAGGGUUCAAAUCCCUCCAGAGACA
rnacentral:tRNA from 1 species